GUGGGUAGUUUGACUGGGGCGGUCUCCUCCUAAAGAGUAACGGAGGAGCACGAAGGUUGGCUAAUCCUGGUCGGACAUCAGGAGGUUAGUGCAAUGGCAUAAGCCAGCUUGACUGCGAGCGUGACGGCGCGAGCAGGUGCGAAAGCAGGUCAUAGUGAUCCGGUGGUUCUGAAUGGAAGGGCCAUCGCUCAACGGAUAAAAGGUACUCCGGGGAUAACAGGCUGAUACCGCCCAAGAGUUCAUAUCGACGGCGGUGUUUGGCACCUCGAUGUCGGCUCAUCACAUCCUGGGGCUGAAGUAGGUCCCAAGGGUAUGGCUGUUCGCCAUUUAAAGUGGUACGCGAGCUGGGUUUAGAACGUCGUGAGACAGUUCGGUCCCUAUCUGCCGUGGGCGCUGGAGAACUGAGGGGGGCUGCUCCUAGUACGAGAGGACCGGAGUGGACGCAUCACUGGUGUUCGGGUUGUCAUGCCAAUGGCACUGCCCGGUAGCUAAAUGCGGAAGAGAUAAGUGCUGAAAGCAUCUAAGCACGAAACUUGCCCCGAGAUGAGUUCUCCCUGACUCCUUGAGAGUCCUGAAGGAACGUUGAAGACGACGACGUUGAUAGGCCGGGUGUGUAAGCGCAGCGAUGCGUUGAGCUAACCGGUACUAAUGAACCGUGAGGCUUAACCUUACAACGCCGAAG
rnacentral:rRNA from 1 species